AAAGCUUUCAUAUCAGUGGGAAAUGGCAGACAGAUCAACUGGUGAUUUUUCUCAAGAUAAAUAAAGUCUACCAGUUACUGAAUCUACAGAUUGGGCUGGAUUCUGCUGCAGUAACCUGAGUCUGGGAUGAGUUCUGUGGGAAGCAGAGCACUCCUGUUCUGCAGAUGGGACACUUCAGUUUUGAAUAUUUUCAGUUUGGCACCUCGGUAACACAGCCUCCCUCAAAGGGAACACACACAGGUGUGAUUUCAUCAGUUGCAACCUGAGAUCAGCCUUAUGAUUUCAUGGAGAGAAGCAGCACUCCAGACAGGUUGGUUUGUUCCUGUAGAAAUACAAAUCCACCUAAGAGAACGUGGCAGGAGAGGAAAAGCAGCAGCAGCAGAGCUUCCACUCAGAAGGGUUCUGUGAGAGCCCCGGCAGAUGCUUGGCUUUUAAAUAAGUGCUUCUGAAGCACCUUGUAACAGUUUAGCUCCAUCUGUGAUUCAGUUUUCUCCACAGCAGCGGCCAGCCCGACCAGCUUCCUUCUGCAAGGAGAGGCACCUUUAGGCAAAACGUACUGUGAGGAGAAGCAAAUUCCUCAGAUCGAGCAGGCCGAACAGGGCGUUGAUGACAUCGCCAAGGAAGUAUAGGCUGUUCUGUUGUAGAAAGAAAACGUUUGGUCGCAGCUAAAAGCUGAGAACACCUGAAUCCAAUGUUGCACGUACGAAAGCAUGGAAAAUUGGCAACCGACGCUAUUCUGGGCUAAGUGCAUUCCGUUGGGUUUUGGGGGAGCGCUGCGUAGUAGCGACUGUGGGAAAACCACUAAAUAGUUCUGUGUUUGAACCAUCUGUCGUGCACGCGGGACAUAUG
rnacentral:lncRNA from 7 species